rnacentral:misc_RNA from 1 species
AACUGAAUUAUCUUAAAAACCAAAUAAUUAUAAUUGAAUGUAUAUUAUUCAUUUUGUUCAAUUUCCAAUUCUGGACUUUUUAUAUUGGACACUAUAUUUGAGCCUACAAAUAAAUGGGCCUUCAUAAUUGCCCUUAAAAUUUAGGCCAUAAAAUAUAAAGAAAAGCUAAAAGACGAUCAUUGUGUUUGGUGAUUUUUCACUUUGGGGCUUUGAGGGUUUUUUCUUUUUUUGAAUAAUCAUUUUAGUACUGUGGUUUUCAUAUUUUGCUACUUGAGUACUCUUCUUUAGCUUAUAUCAUUCAAAUGACACUUAUCCCUUGUAUGGCAUAAAAUAAUAAUUAUGUAUCAUACAUGAAGCACCUACAAGUAGUAUCUCAUCAAUGCCAUGCUAGCAAUUAUUGUUUUCAUUUUUA